CAGCAGGUUUACCUUGAAUAAAUCAGAGUGCUCAAAACAAGUGUUUGCUUGAAUAGCUCAUCAUGGAAUAAUGAAACAGGACUUCGGUUCUUUUUGUUGGUUCUAGAACUGAUUUAAUGGUUAAGAGGGACAAACCGGGGGCAUUCGUAUCAUUACGCGAGAGGUGAAAUUCGUGGACCGUAGUGAGACGCCCAACAGCGAAAGCAUUUGCCAAGAAUGUCUUCAUUAAUCAAGAACGAAAGUCAGAGGUUCGAAGGCGAUUAGAUACCGCCCUAGUUCUGACCGUAAACGAUGCCAUCUCGCGAUUCGGAGGGUUUUUGCCCUGCCGAGGAGCUAUCCGGAAACGAAAGUCUUUCGGUUCCGGGGGUAGUAUGGUUGCAAAGCUGAAACUUAAAGAAAUUGACGGAAGGGCACCACAAGGCGUGGAGCUUGCGGCUUAAUUUGACUCAACACGGGAAAACUCACCCGGUCCGGACACCAUUAGGACUGACAGAUUGAAAGCUCUUUCUCGAUUUGGUGGUUGGUGGUGCAUGGCCGUUCUUAGUUGGUGGAGUGAUUUGUCUGGUUUAUUCCGAUAACGAGCGAGACUCUAGCCUGCUAAAUAGUUGGCGAAUCUUCGGGUUCGUAUAACUUCUUAGAGGGAUAAGCGGUGUUUAGCCGCACGAGAUUGAGCGAUAACAGGUCUGUGAUGCCCUUAGAUGUCCGGGGCUGCACGCGUGCUACACUGGUGGACUCAGCGGGUUUUUCCUAUGCCGAAAGGUAUCGGUAAACCGUUGAAAUUCUUCCAUGUCCGGGAUAGGGUAUUGUAAUUAUUGCCCUUAAACGAGGAAUGCCUAGUAAGUGUGAGUCAUCAGCUCACGUUGAUUACGUCCCUGCCCUUUGUACACACCGCCCGUCGCUAUCCGGGACUGAACUGAUUCGAGAAGAGUGGGGACUGUCGCUUCGAGGUUUAACGACUUCGUUGUUGCGGAAACCAUUUUUAUCGCAUUGGUUUGAACCGGGUAAAAGUCGUAACAAGGUAGCUGUAGGUGAACCUGCAGCUG
rnacentral:rRNA from 1 species